rnacentral:rRNA from 1 species
UACAGAGGUCUCGAGCGUUGUUCGGAUUCAUUGGGCGUAAAGGGUGCGUAGGUGGCGCUGUAAGUCGGGUGUGAAAUCCUGAGGCUUAACCUCGGAACUGCAUUCGAUACUGCGGCGCUUGAGGACUGGAGAGGAGACUGGAAUUCAUGGUGUAGCAGUGAAAUGCGCAGAUAUCAGGAGGAACACCGAUGGCGAAGGCAGGUCUCUGGGCAUUAACUGACGCUGAGGCGCGAAAGCUAGGGGAGCAAACGGG